GAUAUUCUUAUUACCAUCAAAUGAAAUUGAGAGAAGUGUGUGUUUUUUGAUAUAUUCACUUCGAUAUCGUUCGAUAAACGUAUCGACGUCAUUUUUUCCAACAUACUUUUCAAUAAUCUAACGUGUGUUAAAUAUUGUAUUAACAAGUAUAUCAUACUUAAUCAUUAAAGAAUACAUUAAGCAGUUCCUUCUCACGAAAUUAGAAUAUAUAUAGUUUGUCUGAUUAAUUAGUCCAUACGAAACAUUGCGCGUGGCCAUUUAAACUCGUUCCACAAACAAGCAAUCGUUCAAACAAGAAUUCCUUUAAUCAAGGAAAACUAGCGCAGACCCUGAAGUAAAACUUUCACGCGCGGUACGUUUAAUUCUGCAUUUUUUCAUUUUAACUGUCCUUCCGACCAAGUAAUCUUCGCCAAGUAAUUCCGAUGAAACGUUAACACGCGGCUCUUCAAGCUAUCUUGUCAUAUCAUGUCUCGCGAGUGCUACUCUGUAGUUUCUAGCUGGAUGGAUCGUGUAUACGAUUCGAAGUCGCGGAUAAAAGACGAAUCGAGCUAGUAGAGGGUUAAAGAAAGCGAAAAGGGAAAGAUAAGGCGAACAGAUUGUCUGACGAAACGAGGAGAAAAAGGCAAGGUACGUCUCUCGAUUAUGCAUGCUUUCCUGACGCAAGAACUGGGCUAAUGGUUAGUAUUCUAGAGAAUUAUCGUUGCAGACUAAUUGCGCCCAUGCUGGCUGUUGCCCAACUGCUCUAGCUGCGGAAUGUUUCUAUUCAGUGUCUCUUUGUGUGUCAAUGAGGAAACACUUAUAUCAAGAAGUGUGAUGUACACUGGAUGUUAAAAGCAAGCAUAUGUUUGAGAGUUUAACGUUCUGUCAGCUGUAUGUAACUUUUCUAAGUAUCGAAUAAGCUUGAGCAAAUUGAAUUUGAAAUAAAAAUAAGGAAGAUAAUUUCAAAUAAUGAAUCAUCUCAAAUAGGUAUCUUGUUAUUUUCAUUUUAAAGAUAACACGGGCAAAGUAAUUUUAUUUCUAUUAAGAACGAACAAGACAUCCUGUACGUUCUUUAUUAGACUACUCUGUAAUUUGAAAUCAUACGAAUAAAAUAGAACAUCGCUAAACGUCCGCCGUACCAUUCGAUAGCUUGGCAAAGCUCGGUCAUUCAAUCACACGAAUCACCGUAAUUCACCGCAAUCUAGAAAUCUACUCAAGGACGGUUCAUCAAAGGUUUCGAGUCGCUUCAAACGAAGCCGGAAGAGAGGAUGACAAAAAGAAUGAGCGAAACAAGCAGUCGUGUCGUGGACGAGCUCGCGAGCGUGUGUCAGUAGAAAUCCGCGUAUCCGAUACCUUUUUAAUUAAUUUCAUAUUCUCUCGUCUCUCUGUCAUAUAUUCCAUGGGAAAGAGAAAGAAGCACAGCCAGUGAAAGAGGGACAGCCAUCCAAAGAGGCUUCGCCAAUUCAGCUGGAUGAGCAACGAGCUUAAAAGCUGACUCAGUCGUCCAACCAAGCAGACAGACGUGUGAACCACAGGAACACACAGAGUCAAGCAGGACACGUUUGCACGAGCGAUUGUGAAUUUCCACGAGACGGUUUGUCCUUUGAGCCUUACUGCGUUGGCCGGCAAAGGGAAGAUGAAGGAGCUCGUAAUUUUCCGAGCUCCGCGUUUCAGCUCGCGCGGCUAUUUUCUGCGGUUCACGCGUAUUAUGCAACCGACCCGACUUGAACUGGCACGAGCUUACACGCCUGGCGUGCUUCCACUGUAUUCUCUGUUUCGAUUCUGUGUGUGAGUUCGCGCGGGUAUGCGUGAGAGAGAGAGAGAGAGAGAGAGAGGGAGAGAUCGCGCAUUCAGGAACCACUGAUGAACGCGUGCAUAUUCAACGCGCGACUCAAAGGGUGCUUUUGCAUUCCGUUACAUGUGCCCGGGAUGUAUCAAGAAUUUGGUGGAACUGAAACACCGAGGAACGGAGCAAUGGAGAACUAUACGCGGAAAUUGCUGCGGGCACGUAACAAAAUUUGUCAGGAGAUGAGAUUUUCAGCGAAGGCAGUUAUGUACGCCGUAAGAAUGAAUGGCCGACCGGUGGAAAACGAGUUCUCGCAGUGCUAACAAUAAGAGCCCGUCCGUUUUCCUGAUGAAAGGGAUUUCCAACAUUUCAUAUAGACGGAUCCUCAUAAACGGAAUGCUAUUACGGAGCAAUAAUCGAAUACGUUGUCAAUAAAGCAGAAAGAACUACUUGGCCAAUAGAUAUAUUCAAAAUUGUUGAGGUUGAGGCUGACUGAUUGAAGAACGAGUGGAUGAAUUUGUAAUAGAAAAAUAUAUUGAAAUAAUUAAAGGUAU